CAUGUGCACCCAUAAUAAUUUUACUAUUUAUAAAUUCUAUACAAAAUCAUUAAAACUUUGGUGUAAGAGAUGACAAAAUUCCACCUGUGCACUUGUAAUAAUUCAAGUUUGAUGCCUUAUUAUAUUUUUUGUUAUAUCCUUUUAGCACUAGUGCACCCAUUACAUUUAUAUUCGAGCUUCGCCAACACCACAGGAUUAGAGAUGCCAACAAGUAGAAGAGGUGGAGACAAUGUCGAAAUUUACUGUGGUUGAGGCCCGAAACUCAUCAUAUUUCUCCAACAACUAAGAGGAGCCACGAGCAGUCCGUAUGGAUACAAACAAGGGACACGAGGAUAAGAACCUGAUUUGACCUAGCGUCUACUACGACACGGAGCAAGGAGAACUGAAGCUCUGAAUCAUGUGAAUUUAGCCGGAUAAUCUGAGCAAAGGCAAAGAUUACCACACAGUCAUCGAAGAGACCCAGUUUUAUAAUCGAUAUUUUCAUCUACACCUAUGAAUUAAAAUUUAACCAAUGAUAUUAAACUCUAAUAUUGUUAUAAUCGAUAGAAUCAGAUAAUUUAGAUAAAAAUAUGAAUAAAGGUAACAAAAAAAACAACACAAAAAUCUACUGUGGCUUACCAAUUUGAAAAUAUCUAGACAUAAAUUUCUUAUUUUUACUAAAAUCUAAUUUUUAAAUUACAUCAAAACUAUAAAACAGAAAAAUAAAAAAAAGUUUAUCGCAUCAAAGAAUAUAAAAUUGUGACAAUAAGCAUGAUAAAGACAUUUUCUCUUGUAAUAGAACCAAUAUUUUAUUUUGCAAUAUAAUCUGGGAUACAAGUUCUAUAAAAAUCAUUAGUAAUUACUUUGGAAAAUAAUAUAUGUCCCCCACAAAAAAUAACAAAUUAAUUCUUCAGUCAUUUUCAAUAUAAACUUUCAAAAUUUCAGUUUCAAGGAUUAGUUUUUGUUUUGACACAACUGAAAGGAUUAUUUUGUGAUGAGCCACAGAGCAGCAUUUGAAAAUACCAAACAGCUUUUGCUUAUUUUAAAGACAAAAAUGUUGAUUUUUUUUCUAAUACUAAAAUCUUUGGAAAGAGGAACUCAAUACCUACUGGAAUACUUGAUUUUCCCCCUAAAAUUUGAUUUUUUUCCUAAUUAAUUAUUUUGUUAUUAAUUGACCAAAUUUUUAUUGUAUUUUUGGAAACAUUGAAACAAAUUCUUCUUUUAUAUUGGUCAACAUUAUAAAUUUAUUGAAACUUUUCAACUUUCUUUUAAAAAAAUUGGGCCAAUAUUUUUCCAUCCCAAUCAACUUUAUAAAACUGUAAACAUGUUAUCUCCAAUAAAAUUAUUUUAAAAUAUUUGUUUUAUAUACCAAAAGAGCAAUUUAGUAAACAUAAAAUAAUUGAAUAUAAAAUAUAAAUAUCAGUAGCUAUGUACAGUAAAACCUCUAUAAAUUAAUAAUGUCAGGACUUUGGAAUUUUAUUAAUUUAUAGAGUUAUUAAUUUACAAAAGUUUUCUUAUUUAAAUUUCUUAUUUUAAGAUAUAUUUAUUCUAAGAGAAUAACUUAGUAAAUAAAUACGUUUGAGUUUGCAGCAUGUGGUACUUCUGAUUGUGAUGGUAUCACAACAGGAUCACCAUUAUCCAUGCAAUUAUAUUUCUCAUCACAUCCUCUUUCUAUUGAAAUCAUGUUCGUUCUGUGAAUUACUCAAUCGAGACCAUAAUAAAGUUUAUUCAGUGAUGCAUGACCCUCUUUUGGGUUUAACCCUCUCAUGCAGCUACUAAUCAUAAUGAUUCAAACACUGUCCGUAUUUAAUGUUGAACCCAUUUGAGUCUUUUUUUUUUGCUAACAAACCCAUUUGAGUCGCUCUUUCUUCCUCUCUCAGAUAUGACAGGAAAAAACAACAAAGGAGUAGUGAAAUGCUACUUCCCGUGGUUGAUGUUUGGUUACGGACUUGGACUAUUCUUAACAUACUUGGGACUAUAUAUAUUAUGAACGGACACGGUCGACCUGCACUGCUCUAAUCUAGUGCCUUACACUGUUCAGGUGACCAAAGAACUAAAUGGCUAAAAGGAGAGGCUAAUCUUAUAUUAACAAUCCGAGAUAACUCAGGUUAUAAUGUGAUUAUGUGAAGAACAGUUUUUUUCUACUCCAAGGUUUUUAGACUUUAGUAACAUCAUAGGCUUUUUAAAAUCGGAUUUUUGUUUUAGAUUUUAAUGUGAAACUUAAAUACAAGUUGACCAGAAAAAAAUCUUUAAUACACGUAGGAUAGAGUGGAACGUGAGGUGUUUGAACAUUUUUACAGUGGGUAAUAAAUUAUUUUGGUUGCACUAAAAGUAAAUUCAAUAAAAAGUAAUAUAUUUAUGUUAGUCCAACGGCUAGUAUUUUAUUGGAUUGUGGUAAGCAACGGCACAAUGUUGGGAGUGUUGCAAAAAUGGACAUUGGGAGUGUUGCAAAAAAAAGGAAACUGGGGUCUAUUUAUAUUUGUUAUCAGAGAGGAUGAAUCAAUUAUUUCAUUUCUCUUCAUUCUUCAGAUUAUUUCUCCGAUUACUUGCGGCAAAGAAAAGAUUUAGCCGGAGAUGGAAUGCUUCAGCUUUUAGAGAAGAGUUCGUACGGCUCAAUGUUGUUCACAUCAGUGACAACUAACUCCAGUCGUCGGGAUAAAGAGUUGCUUGAAAAGGAUACGAUUCCCAUGGAAACAGAGUCUACACGGACGGUACGUUUCUCUUUUCUUGAAACUUUUUUAAAUAGAAACAAAAUAUUUUUCUUUACUAACCAUGAACUGUUUUGUAAAGUUUGUUUUCACUGCAAUUUUUUAAAAAAAAAAACUUUCAAACUUGGGGAAAAUUUCUAUAUUAUUUGGUUGAUAAUGAAAACUUAAUGUGUAAUUUGUGAAAAGUAUUAGGAGUUACAUCCGGUCAGUGAUAGUUAGAGAUUGUAUAUUUCUAACAUCCGGUUAGCGAUUGUAUAUAUCUUUUGUCUUGGCACUUAUGAGCAUUUAGUUCUUCGUAAUCAAUCUCCUAAUGAAGCAAUUUUCCCUCUUGUUUUGUGCGUAGAUUCUUUCUUACUUGCUUUUAUGUUUUUGUUUCCUUUGAUCCUUUUGCUUGUUUUAACUUUCUUCUUGUAUUUGUUUCUUUUAUUGGCUAAGAGACAAAUCUGCUAGUGGAAAGGCGAAUGAUGUUAAUAAUGCAAAGAAGAUCAAAGCUUAUAUGGACAAAGUCUACACGGGUACGUACGCUCCUCUUUUCUCAAACUUUUUUAAAUAACCAUAAACUGAUUUUGUAAAGUUAUUUUCACUACAAUGUUAAAAAAAACUUUCAAACUUGGGGGAAAAUGUAUAUAUUAUUUGGUUGAUAAUGAAAACUUAAUGUGUAAUUUGUGAAAAGUAUUAGAAAUAACAUCCGGUCAGUGAUAGUUAGCGAUUGUAUAUUUCUAACAUCCGGUUAGCGAUUGUAUAUUUCUUUUGUCUUGGCACUUAUGAUCAUUUAGUUCUUCGUAAUCAAUCUCCUAAUGAAGCAAUUUUCCCUCUUGUUUUUUUUUCUAAAAUCAACAUCACAUUUGCUUUCUUGUUUUGUGUUUCUUACUUGCUUUUAUGUUUAUGAUUCCUUUGAUUUUUCUGCUUGUUUUAACUUUCUUCUUGUGUUUGUUGCUUUUACUGGAUAAGAGAGAAAUCUUCUAGUGGAAAAGCGAAUGAUGUUAAUAAUAUAAAGAGGAUCAAAGCGUAUAUGGACAAGGUUGAGCUAUAGAGCAUUCAAACAUAUGUGUUGAUAGUGUUGGAUGAGCAUCUCUCAUCCCCUCUGCUUCCGAGACCAUCAACCAUCUUCUUUAGCAAGAUGAAAGGUAACACUAUUACCGCAAUCUUGCAUAAGAAGCCACUGAUCACAGUCUUUGAAAGCCUAUGAGAUUGUCACUACUGCUGAAGCUAAACUUCCUCCUACACAUCCUGUCAGAUUGGGGUUGGCCUUGAACUUCUCUGUCCUCUACUACGAGAUUAUGACCUCACCUUAAAGGUUUUUAGAGAUUGUUUAGUUACUAAAAAGUAAACCUUAGAAGACUCAAUAUAUUAUUUUUUAAUU